ensembl:snRNA U2 U2 spliceosomal RNA
AUCGCUUCUUGGCCUUUUGGCUAAGAUCAAGUGUAGUAUCCGUUCUUAUAAGUUUAGAGACUUCUGGGAUGGUGAAUGGUAAUGCUACCACUUGAGGCUAGUGAUUCUACAUCUUUGUGUUUUUCUUUUCCAUUCUUGGAAAAAAAAGAACGUUGGUACUUAAUUGACUUCAAUCGACAGACUUU